CCUGGAUACGUCACAAUAAGAUUACCACACAUCCCCACUAUAUAUAUAGGAUACUGUUAGACUGUUAGUAGUAGAUGAAUAGUGUUUACUACCACUUUUAUACCCCUUGAAUGAUUACUAGUACAACCACCCAAAAGUAAACCUCAGGCAUCCAAGGGCUACAAAGUUGGCAGUAAAAACAUUAUUCACCUACUACUAAUAGUAUUCUAGCUCCACACACACACGCGCACGCACGCACACACGCACGCGCACACACACACACACAUAUAUAUAUAUCAACUCUGAAUACUAUCAGGGUAAAAAUGCUAGAAAGAAUACAAAGGAAGAAAGAAGUACCAAACUGAAUACGGUAAUUUUUGCUGCAUGGAUUUCUAAAAGAAACGGUCAUUAAGUUCAAAAGGUACUUAAGAAAACACUUUCAUCUCUUCCACUAGAAAAGGCAAUAAGAACAGAGAAUUACUUAAAAAAUUCUUUGGUAGGGGCACAACAAUCGAAGAAAAGCCUUGGUUUAGAAUCUUGGCUUUAGAAAGAUCAGUAUGAAUCACAAAAAUACUCAAAAUUAAACAUCCAAUUUGACUUACGUCUUCAAUAAAGUAGUUCAACCGAAUGAGAAGAAUGUUAAGUCAGUCAUUAUUCUUUNAGAAACGGUCAUUGAGUUCAAAAGGUACUUAAGAAAACACUUUCAUCUCUUCCACUAGAAAAGGCAAUAAGAAGAGAGAAUUACUUAAAAAAUUCUUU
rnacentral:lncRNA from 1 species